UACGUAGGGUGCGAGCGUUGCCCGGAUUUAUUGGGCGUAAAGGGCGCGUAGGCGGUGAGAUGCGUCCGUUGUGAAAUCGCCCGGCUCAACUGGGCGGGGUCAGCGGAUACGGUCUCACUCGAGCAAGCUAGGGGGCAAUGGAAUUCCCGGUGUAGUGGUGGAAUGCGUAGAUAUCUGGAGGAACACCGGUGGCGAAGGCGGCAUCCUGGACCGGUAUUGACGCUGAGGCGCGAAAGCUAGGGGAGCAAACGGG
rnacentral:rRNA from 1 species